GACGAACGCUGGCGGCGUGCCUAAUACAUGCAAGUCGAGCGAAUCAAUAGGAGCUUGCUCCUGUUGGUUAGCGGCGGACGGGUGAGUAACACGUGGGCAACCUGCCUGUAAGAUCGGGAUAACCUCGGGAAACCGGAGCUAAUACCGGAUAAUCCUUUCCUACACAUGUGGGAAAGCUGAAAGACGGUUUCGGCUGUCACUUACAGAUGGGCCCGCGGCGCAUUAGCUAGUUGGUGAGGUAACGGCUCACCAAGGCGACGAUGCGUAGCCGACCUGGGAGGGUGAUCGGCCACACUGGGACUGAGACACGGACCAGACUCCUACGGGAGGCAGCAGUAGGGAAUCGUCCGCAAUGGACGAAAGUCUGACGGAGCAACGCCGCGUGAGCGAUGAAGGCCUUCGGGUCGUAAAGCUCUGUUGUUAGGGAAGAACAAGUAUCGGAGUAACUGCCGGUACCUUGACGGUACCUAACCAGAAAGCCACGGCUAACUACGUGCCAGCCGCCGCCGUAAGAC
rnacentral:rRNA from 1 species